GCUGGCGGUAUGCUUAAGACAUGCAAGUCGUGCGGUAGAAGGCUUCGGCCUUUGAGAGCGGCGGACGGGUGAGUAACACGUGGGAAUCUGCCUAUUAGUGGGGGACAGCCCAGCGAAAGCUGGAUUAAUACCGCAUACGCCCUACGGGGGAAAGCAGCAAUGCGCUAAUAGAUGAGCCCGCGUAAGAUUAGCUAGUUGGUAAGGUAAAGGCUUACCAAGGCGACGAUCUUUAGCUGGUCUGAGAGGAUGGCCAGCCACAUCGGGACUGAGACACGGCCCGGACUCCUACGGGAGGCAGCAGUCGGGAAUAUUGGACAAUGGGCGCAAGCCUGAUCCAGCAAUACCGCGUGUGUGAAGAAGGCCUGCGGGUUGUAAAGCACUUUCAGUUGGGAAGAUAAUGACGUUACCAACAGAAGAAGCACCGGCUAACUCCGUGCCAGCAGCCGCGGUAAUACGGAGGGUGCAAGCGUUAAUCGGAAUUACUGGGCGUAAAGCGUGCGUAGGCGGCCUGUUAAGUCAGAUGUGAAAGCCCCGGGCUUAACCUGGGAACUGCAUCUGAUACUGGGAGGCUAGAAUGUGGGAGAGGAGAGUGGAAUUUCCGGUGUAGCGGUGAAAUGCAUAGAGAUCGGAAGGAACACCAGUGGCGAAGGCGGCUCUCUGGACCAACAUUGACGCUGAGGCACGAAAGCGUGGGUAGCAAACAGGAUUAGAUACCCUGGUAGUCCACGCC
rnacentral:rRNA from 1 species